rnacentral:lncRNA from 1 species
CGAAACCGUACCGAACCAAAAUAGUAAAUACCGAACCGUACCGAAAUAUUUUGGUAUGGUAUUUGGUAUACACAAUUGAUACACCGAAUACCGAAAUACCGAACCAAAAUUCUUACAUACCGAACCGAAAUACCGAACGCCCACCCCUAAUGGAAAGUGCAAUAGGCUCAAAGAUAAGAACCUUAAAAGUUAAAACCGGUCAAGUUUAAAUCUGAUAAUAAAUAAAACUCUUUGUGAGCUCGCCUGAAAUACAGUGGUUCAGACUUCAGUUCGAUUGUUGUGAAUCCCUUUGCUACACACACAAAUAAGGAGAUGUUUGAGCUCUUGUACGUUCUUCUUAUUCAUCGAUCAGCACACAAGAUUAAUGAAUUCUCGCAAUGGGAAUAAAGGAAAAUGAAGCUACAAACUUUGUGCGACGAAAGUUGGAAAAUAUUCUAAUGCCUAGUAAAAGUUGUGUUUCCAAAGAAUCAAUGCAACUUUGAACCAACUGCGAACUAAAACAGAUUAUAAUUGCAAACUUUAUAUACCUCUUAUAACAAGACAUGGACAAUUUAUUUUUCGUACUAACUUUGUGUUCUCUGGAAAGCAGGGGCGGAGCUAGAGAAUGGGAGCGGGUUCGGCUGAACCCAAUAGCUUUAGUUCGAACUUUGUGUUUGUCUUAAAAAGUUCAAUUAAUACAUGUAAAUUAUUAAUUUAGAAUCCAAUAGCUUAAAACUGUUAGAAUCCCAAACCCAUAAACUUGUAAUCCUGGCUCUGCCUCUCUGCUGGACAAAGAUACAGCUUGGAGACAAUGUUAAGAGCCAAGAUUCAUAAGGCACGCCGUGGAAUUAUUCCACUGGAAUAUGGCUGGCUUUAUUGAAUAUUGAGAGUUUAGAGUUGCAAGCCUGGCUUUACUAGCAACAAAUCAGCACAAUUACAAGGCGUAGAUGAUCUCCAUUUUUCAUUCUUCUCAGUUCUUAUGGUUUUUAUGAUGUCAACAUUAAAGAGACAAUCACAUGGUUUUGAGAGAAAAUCACUCAUGGUGUUUAAACCAAACUAACUAUAUACUUUAGGUAUCCGCUAAUCAUGGUUAACUGAUAUGUUUUCUCACUUUAAUUAUGUGUUUAGAUUAGUAUAAUCGUCAAAAGAAUAAGCGGAAACACUCUUCGCAAAAUAACUUUUCUAGUUUCCCUCUUAUGAGCGUCACAAAUGGCUUUCAUUAUGAUUUUGUUAUGAAAUAAAUAGAGUGGGAAAUAAUGAAGAAGAUAAAGCAAAAGGUAACAAUAUACAUUGCAUUAAUAUUCACCUAUAUUAAUAUAGGUGCAGUUUUAGGGGUUUUUUAUGCGCUUGUACAUAUCUUUUCCCCUAUAAUAAGUUUGUUUAAUUACCCAAAAAAAAAAGAUCCAUCCAUUAAUUUGUUCACCUCAUCGAAAAACAUCAUUAUUAUUCAUCUCAAAAAUCCAUACAUAUUAAACUUUUCCAUCUAACUUUUGACAAAAUUUCUUUCUGGGAGCAAGGGCUAAGUCAAACAGUACAGAGAUAAGUUAUCGACAUGUAACACUAGAGAGAUCAAGAGAAGCUUAUGAUAUAGUUAAAAGAAAAGGGUAUGCAAGUUUGUGCAACAUGAUAACCCCGGGCUAACACAUUAUAACUGAAAAACUUGCCUCAAGAAUAUAUUCAUAGAAAUGACGUAAAGAAGUGAAAGAAAACCAAUAGAAGAAAGGAUGAAAAAGACCAUAAAAGGAUGACAAGAAAGUAAGUACAAUACAAAAUUUGAAAGCAAAAGCCGAUCAUUAUAUAACUUGUAUAAUACAUCUGGUAAUGGAUAGGUUAUGCACUAUAUAUUAGAUAGCCCUUGAAAGGAAAGCCAACUCUCGGACUCGGACAUAGUUAGCAAAAAAAGCAUGAUGUUCAAGAAUUUAAGUAGAUUAGCUAUGAACGUGGUGACCUCUUAUGAUUUAUGACAAAGGAAAGUGAUAAAACAUCUCAAAAUUAUGAAGAAUUAUCCAAGAAAUUCAUAAUUAUAAGUAGAGGAGAAAAUUAAAACUACACAAAUUACACGACUCCCUCUAUUUGACGUAAUUUGACUUGUAACAAAGUUAAAAAAGAAAGACUUUAGAAUCUUGUGUGGUCUUAAACAUGCCACAAGAUUACUGUGAUAAUAAAAACAUGUUUCAAAUUGAAAAUUUAAAGUUAAAUUGAUUCCAAAUAUAUAAAGGUUAUUAUUAACAGACUAAUAAGCAAAUAAAAAGUACUAUCACAUAAACUGCAACACAGGAGUAUCAAUGAAGUUGCGGAAGAUGGAAGGGAAUGCUACAUAUGUAACAAAGAAUUUGCUGUUAGAGUAAUAUUAGGUAUUUGUGACCAUUGAUUGUAGAAAGUAUCCUCCCAACAAUUAACCACUGCAAUAGAUGAACGACAAAAUUGUGCAGAAUGUUACAAUAAUUUACUUGAAAUGUAGUUUAUAUAUAUUACUAUUAUCAUGUAUCAGCACAAAGCCAAGGCGGCUUAAUGUUAUAAGAAGAAUAAGAAGAGGAGAAAUUAUGAAUGUGCAAUGUAAAAAAGCUUAGCCCAACAAAGUACAAUAAAUGAAUAGCUUGAUUAUUUGAAUUUUGAAGGAGUGCAUCUUUCUUUUCUAGCCCUUUCAAAAAUAGAUCAGCGAACAGAAUACUUAAAUGGAGUUCUAACCAAUCUAAACCACUUUUGGAAGAAUCUCUAUUUCGUUAUAUAUUGCAGGCCAAAAUAUUAAAAAAGGAAGUAUGAAAAAAAGAGGGUCUUAAGCAGAAAUCACAUGAAAUUCUUUAAGCAAAGUUCUUUUAGGUCCGAGUCCUUAGGUCAGUCAAUGUUCUUUAAGCAGAAAUCACAUAAAAUGCAACUUUUAGAACUGGUGUUAGGCUCUAAUUAAAAUCACCAUAUAUAUAACAUUCGUUCUAAAUUAAUUAUUUGACAUUCUAGAAACAAAAUAUCCUGAUUGCUUGUCUGAAACCCUGACAGAUUUUCAUUUUCUCUAUAGCAUGAAAACUCUUUUAAGGAGAAGUUAGAUCAAGUGCUUCUUAGGCUAGGCUUAACUCAUAAGAAAUAAGCUAUACGUUACUUAUGAAUAGGGUUGUCUUUAAUUACCUUUGCUUAAUUAUCUCCGAGAAGCUAAGCUGCCCAUCAAAAUCAACAAUCUUUCACUACAUCAGCCUGAAAAUAUUAUUAACAACUGUUAUUUAAAAGCCCUAAAUAUAUAGGGCACUACCUACGAUCCAAGGCAGGCAAAGGUCGAUGUUCUAAAAUAGGUUCAGUUGAAUCCCAUUCGAUAAAUUAAAAAAAUUAUAAAAUGCAUAUAAAUAAAAAUGGUUGGUGUAUUUAUAAAAAAUUGUUAAAACCCCUUGUAACACUUUUAGUGUAUCGUAAAUAUAUGGUUCAAAAAUUCCUUUAAGUAAUAGGUUUGAAUCCCAAGUAUAACACUUACUAACAUUUUUUCAGAUCCCCUUGUUAGAACUUCUAACUCUGCGAUUGUUCCAAGGUUUUAUCAAAAAUGCCAUUCACCUGCAAUUGAACCCGCACCUCCUUUCCUUUCAUUUCCUUCUUAAGAUAUAAGGAACCAUAGAGAAACAAGAAAGAAAGAGAGAAUAAUAGAGGUGCAGGUGCAAAUGCAGAUAAAGGCAACAUUUUGGUUUCUUCACCAUGAGUAUUUCGCACUCAUCUUUUUCUUGCUCAAAGACUUGGCUGUCUUC